UGCUCACCUUCCAUGUCCCACAUUACCCUCAUCUAUCAAUUUCAUAACAAGAGACGUUAGGUUUGCUUAGGUGGCAGCCACAUGGCGUUAGAGCUUGGGUAUAUUUUUCAUUUAUAGGCCGUGAAAAUCAGAAUGAGGGUUUAGGUUUCCACCAAAUUACCCCCAAAUUGAUCCCCAUAUUAUGAUAGGCAAUGCCCUAGAAUCAUUUAGGAAAAAAAUUGAAGUCACAUAACCCUAAAAUUUUGGUGUUUGUAGCUCAAAUUGAAGUCGACAUCAAGUGAAGUUGUUGGGGUUGGGUGAAUCGAAGAAAACGAUGGACAUCAGACCAGCAAGGCAUGGUGCUCGUUGUCACUAUGGAAAGAUGGCAGUGAUGGUGACAUCAUGGAUUGAUGCAAACCCAGGUCGAAGAUUCCAAGUGUGCCCAAAGUCAAAAAAGGGAAGAGGACAGAGAGUAUGUCAGUUUUGGGAGUGAUAUGAUCCUGAAAUGUGUCCACGUUCAAAGGUGGUGAUACCUGGGUUGCUGAUGAAGAUUCAUAAAUUGGAAGAGGAAAAUGCCAAAAUUCGAAGAAGGAGGUGAAUAUUGAUUGGAGCUGUAUUGGUUUCUUUCUUCUUGUUGUUGUAUGUAAUGAAAUGGAAUUGAAAGGAUGCAUUGGUUUCCUUCUUGUUGUUAUUGUAUGUAAUGAAAUGGAAUUGAAAGGAUGCAUUGGUUUCCUUUUCGCUAAUGUAAUAUGUUAA